AAAAAAAAAAAAAAAGAAAGAAAGAAAGUAAGAAAAAAAGAAUGAAGGAAGAAAAGUGAUGUGUGGGAUAUGUCUCCUAUGUAUGAAAGAAAUGUUUCACUAUUUAUGAAGUCUAUCAUUAUUUGCUGGCAAACGAGGUUCCAUGGUUUGAAUUUUUUUUUGGUUUCAGGAAAUUGAUCAACUUUCAUUGAUUCCACAUAUAUCUGAAGCCAGCUCCUUAAAGUAUCCUUAUGAGGUCCUUUUCCGGAGUUUACACAAGCUGCUUAUGGAUACUGCAACUUUUGAGUGCCUUUUUGCUCUUCUCCUUGAUUUUGUUUUCUCGAUGUCCAUUUGCAGUCAUUUAUGAGCACUUCAACUCAAUACUACCAAAUUGUUAUGAUGCUAUUGGGUUAAUGCUUAUGAUCCGCAUAAUCCACUAGCACCAGGUCAAUAUUUCCCUGUGGCCUCGUUUUAAGAUGGUUUUUGACUUGCAUCUUGGUAGUUUGUGUAAUGCAAAUGUGAGGACAUUGUGGGAAGAUGAUAUUCAUCCUAAUUAUGUAAUGAGGCGUUAUGCUGAACUUACAGCUUCUCUUAUUCACCUCAAUGUUGAAUAUGGAGAUGGCCAGCUUGAAUUGAAUAUGGAACGGUUGAGAAUGGCUGUAGAUGAAUUGCUUAUGAAGCU